UAGCUUUUCACGUAAGUUUCACUCUAAUCCAACCAAUAGAUUGCUAAAAAUCUCAAAAACCCCCACUAGACCUAAAAUUCUACUUUUUGAAACCUUGACCCACUUAAACCUCAAUAUUCCUCAAUUCGACCGUUAGAUCAAGCUCAAAUUUACGACAAAUAUUAAACACAACUAAAACCAUAAAUCCACAAAAUUUCACCUAUAGAUCUAUUACAAAACUUUUGAAAUCACCCAAAAUAUAAACCCUAUAUUGUUUCAUAAAAUCCAAGUCAUCCGAAACAAACCUUGACUUUGCAAAGCUUUUACAAAGUUAUAUCAACUCCAAAUCACCUAAAAUCAAUGCUCAUAGAAAGUUUAUUUACUCUGCUAUCAAAC
rnacentral:lncRNA from 1 species